GAUUCACUUUUAAUGUGUAUGUAUAAUACAAUACAGAUACAUAAAAAAUACACUCCAAAAAUAGACUCUUUGAAAUGUACAAAUUAUUGAUGAAAAAUAUUGAUUAAAAAAAAUUAUAAAAAUGGAGGCAAAAUUUGCCUAUGGUACAAUGUAUACAAUGUAUGAAAAGAUCUUUACUGCAGAUACUACUAUGGCUCUGCAGAUUUUUUUCUUUUAUUUUAACCUAUGUCGCCUCACCUUGAAGUUGGCAAAUCACUUUUGGUGGUCAACUCUCUCAAGCAGUUUAACAGUUUCUGUUGCGCCUGUCACUAUUCCCUGUCUGUUUCCUUACCUGGUUCUUCCUGACCUUGUACAUUCUCUUCACCUUCCCCUCUUUCCUCCUCUCUCCCUCUUUGGACUGACAAUCAUACACAAAUAGAUUGUAUUCAAUUAGAUGAAAAAAUUACAUUAUAUGAAAAAAAAAUAUUAUUAAGAUCACUGUGUUGCCCUUAAGGCAUUUCUCUGAAUAAAUAGGUUCAUAAGUUUGAAAUAAAUAAUUCUAAGAAGAUUUGUCAUUAAAACAUUGAUAUGUGUUGUUAAAAUGAAUAAUUCAUGCUUUACAUACGUUUUAGUUAAAAGGAAAAUAUCGCUAAAAUGUAUUUCCUGUUCUGGCGGCGCACUUCCGGUUCCGGUCAGGCACUUCCGGUUUUGGUCAAGCACUCGGUUUUGCUGAGAAACAGGCUCCGCAUGCUAAAGGCAGUAUAGAGAUGUAAUCAAAUGCCAUCUACUCUGGAUUAUCAGGCUGGAACGCCAAGAAGGAGCAGAUUCUAGAACCACAGCAAAACCACGAAGCGGUUGGCGAGAAUCCAGGAAGCACCAGACGAACGGAUCUGGCCAAAAAAGGGGGACCCAAAGGAAGAUAGUGUCUGCAGCUCUCCUUUUCCGGAAAUGUAGAAUAAAGAUGAUUUUUGAGCUUUGA